rnacentral:rRNA from 1 species
CGACACGGUGACGUGGGGCGGAUCCCUGAAAACCGGUCUCAGUUCGGAUCGCAGUCUGCAACUCGACUGCGUGAAGGUGGAGUCGCUAGUAAUCGCGGAUCAGCAACGCCGCGGUGAAUGCGUUCCCGGGCCUUGUACACACCGCCCGUCACACCACGAGAGUUGGUAACACCCGAAGCCAGUGAGCUAACCUACGGAGGCAGCUGUCGAAGGUGGGACCAGUAAUUGGGGUGAAGUCGUAACAAGGUAUC